CCCUCCUUGUGUACUGCUGAAAUUCAUCCUGUGAGUUACUAUCUGUGUUUAAAGUCCUCUGGUGCUGCGUGCAGGCCCUACGUGCUGGUCUGACUCUCUGUGCUGGGACCCCGUGUGUUGGAGUGGAAAGGGUAGGUGCGUGGGAAGGUGUUGCAGUACCGGACAUGUUUACCUGUGGCACCGCGGUCGUGACGUCCCUUCCGGCCGUCUCCGUGGUCGGUUCAGUCUCGCCCCGGGAGGGUCUGUGCUCGGCCCGUGGUCUCUGGGGGAGGGGGCCGUGGGUGCUCUGGCGUGAGCAGAGGCUCCGGUAGAUGAGGGAGGACGUGCUGGGGGAAUCGGAGCAUAUUAGGGCCUUGGCGACAGCCUCCUGCACACGAUCAGUAGGCUGGCCCUGGCGGUAUUCAUCAUCCAAAUAUUCCAGACUGUUUGGCUCGCGGAGACCGCUUGCCGAACUCUUCCCGACUGGGCAAUGAUUUUCCAGUUUCGCUAUCUCUGUAGCUUCUUCAGGGAAAGAGAUCUGAUUCUCGUCGGUUAGGGUUUUUAAGGGGUAGGUUGAUGUUCCUCCCUUUCUGGGUGGAGCUUCCCAUGUGCUC